AUUAAAAGCAAGAUGUAAUAACCCAAUUUUUAAAUACGGGUUUAUUUGGUAAUUUUAACUAGAAGGAAUUAAAAAAAAAAAAAUAGAAAAGAAGAAAUUUAGUGGGCCAAGCCCAAAAAGAAAAGGAAAAAAAAAAGAGAGUUAUGAUGGCUUCUAAGCCAUCUGACGUGAGGAACAAAAACAAAUAGAAGCAGAAUGCACACAGGGAAAGGAAACGCAGUGGAGGAAAAAAAAAAGGGGGAGAAAAAGAAAGGAGAAGAGGAGAAAAAUAGGGAUUUUCAACCCUAAUCAUCAAGUGUGAGGCAAUUCGGAGACUCGAGAACGCAGUUUUGAUUUAUUGGGAAGUGUGCUUGAAUUGUGAAUUUGAGAUACUAUGGGUGACGACGAAGCUAGUAGUUGACGAGUUUGCUGAAGUUGAUCUAUUAGUUGAGGUGAGCCGCCGCUUUGUUCGUGGAGGCUGCCAAAAGUGUCAUUAUCAUUUAUUUAUUAAUGUCUUUUCUUUUGGGGUUUUUAAACCCGAGUGUUUUGUAAUUCUCUUAGAUGCUCCAUGGUCUAGUGUGGGAUUUGGGCAAGAGUAUUUGGUUAAUAUUUUGAGACACUAAUUAUCCACAAUUAAUUAUUAUAUUAUUUGAGUGCUUAUUUAAUUUGGUUAAUGCCGCAAAAUUAUGAUUAAGAUAUGAAAAUGUGGUUCGCCUGGCCGGUGGUGUGUGCUGGGUGCCAAUCACGUCUAGGGGGUAUUUUGGGACGUGACACAAGAUGACUAAUAUAAGACUUGGUCUGAUGAAAAUAAUUUUAAGAUAUCGUUUUCAGCUCCAAUAUA